rnacentral:lncRNA from 1 species
CUGAAAAGCUAACAUUAAACUGGGGCAUAAUAACAGCCUCGGGACAUCAGAGCCCGCUCGCUCCUGCCCUGCAAUACUGGACGUUUUUAUGUGCAUUACAUUAAGAGCUUCCAACUCUCCGGACAAAGGGGGGAAGCGCCUCCGUGGUGGGUGGCCCCAAUUAAACCCUGUGCCCAGUGAAUUUCCGCCGAGGCUCACUGGAAGGCGUCCAGGGCUGAUUAGAAAGCAAGUGCCUCAAAUGGCCCAGUGCUGCCAUAAUGAAAAGCCCUGGAAAACUGCUAAAUGACACGGAGGAAAAUCAUUACAAUUGAAACUCCCCCCCACGCCAUGCUCCCCCCGCCCCGUGCUCCCUCAUGCCUAAAAAAAAAAAAAAAAAAAGAAAAGAAAGAAAGAAAAAAAACAUUUCUUCAGAAUUGCCUAAAUAUUGCUUUGUUCAAUGAGCUCACUGUACAGUAAAUGAAAG